rnacentral:rRNA from 1 species
CCUACGGGUGGCAGCAGUGGGGAAUAUUGCACAAUGGGGGAAACCCUGAUGCAGCGACGCCGCGUGAGUGAAGAAGUACCUCGGUACGUAAAGCUCUAUCAGCCGGGAAGAAAAUGACGGUACCUGACUAAGAAGCCCCGGCUAACUACGUGCAAGCAGCCGCGGUAAUACGUAGGGGGCAAGCGUUAUCCGGCUUUACUGGUUGUAAAGGGAGCGUAGACGGGAGCACAAGUCUGGAGUGAAAUCCCGGGGCUUAACCCCGGAGCUGCUUUGGAAACUGUGCGGCUGGAGUGCAGGAGGGGUAAGCGGAAUGCCUAGUGUAGCGGUGAAAUGCGUAGAUAUUAGGAGGAACACCGGUGGCGAAGGCGGCUUACUGGACUGUAACUGACGUUGAGGCUCGAAAGCGUGGGGAGCAAACAGGAUUAGAUACCCCGGUAGUC